GCCAGACUCCUACGGGAGGCAGCAGUGGGGGAUAUUGCACAAUGGGGGGAACCCUGAUGCAGCGACGCCGCGUGGGUGAAGAAGUAUUUCGGUAUGUAAAGCCCUAUCGGCAGGGAAGAAAUUGGACGGUACCUGACUAAGAAGCCCCGGCUAACUACGUGCCAGCAGCCGCGGUAAUACGUAGGGGGGAAGCGUUAUCCGGAUUUACUGGGUGUAAAGGGAGCGUAGACGGCGCUGCAAGUCCGGAGUGAAAGCCCAUGGCUUAACCAUGGUACUGCUCUGGAAACUGUGGAGCUUGAGUGCGGGAGGGGCAGGCGGAAUUCCUAGUGUAGCGGUGAAAUGCGUAGAUAUUAGGAGGAACACCGGCGGCGAAGGCGGCCUGCUGGACCGUAACUGACGUUGAGGCUCGAAAGCGUGGGGAGCAAACAGGAUUAGAUACCCUCGUCAGC
rnacentral:rRNA from 1 species